AUCAAACAGCAAGCAAGAUGUUAGGUGGAUUAAGAGGGACAGUGAUGGAAACAUUAUUUACAGCAGGCCCAGAUCAUCCCGGAAACAAGCAGGUCCCAGUCACAGCCAGAGUCGAAAGACUGGUGUCUCUCAUAUCAGGGCUCCGGAAACCAGUGCGGAAAUGACCAGUGACUUUCUUUCCAUUACUGCAGAGUCCUUCCUUCAAGAGCUUAAAAGCUCAU